CUUCAGGCGGACAAGGGAGGGGGGAAAUGGCCCUGCGUGCUCCUCGGACCAGGGAGAGAAACGCUCGGGGCCAGCAGGCGUGUAGCGCGGGAAGGGAGCCCUGGACCGAGCAGAGUGGUUGGUGUGCGGGCCUCGUGAGGAUCUUGGCGUGUUCAUUUCUAACCCCCUGAAGAGCAGACUUUCAUGGUGGCUGUGUUGAAAAUAGGAACUAAAAAAAGUCCCAACAUAUAAUAACUAUUGUGCUGGAGAAAAGAGAAAACUGCACUUCAGAAGAAUGGAGUGAGUUUAACCCCUUGCAAGGAUUUAAUGAACGCCCAGAGUACUUUUCUGAUCCUUACACAAGCUUGUGCUAAAGGCCAAGAGAUGUACAGAGGAUGAUUUGGCAAGAAGUUCUGUGCCAGAGGGCAAAAAAUGCAUAGGGUAGAAACACACACCUGAGGUCAGAAGUUCUUGGGCCAAGGAGAGGCAGGAAGAUUGGAGGAUUGACCAACAAGGAGCAAUAUUCAUCUAGGAGCCCUCAAUGCCAUGAGGUAGUGGCUUCUCUAAGAAUUAACCAGCCAACUUUAAAAUAUUAGGGACUAGAAACAGAAAUUUAGAAAGAUGUAGACUUGACAGAGCACUGACCCACAUUUCACAAUAGCUGUGUUUGUCAUUGGAUGCAUGUCAGUUGAACAAACAAAGGAAAUCAGAACUUAAAGAUAAUUGCAGGUUUAACAGGAUGUUUGACUUGGCUUACUGGAAAAAAAAAAAGGCCUGGAAAGAGGGAAGUUUUACCUCUCCCUGAUAGUGGUCUCUGAAGCUGGCAUGAAGGAAGUGACUUUGGAAAGAAUUAAAAAUCUUGAGGUUGCCUCUUUUCUUUUUCAUCUGCUAGUUCCCAUGAAGUAAUAGGAACUCUGGCCCCAAGAUUGCUUCUUAAUGGUGUUGCUGUUUAUCAGCCUUAGGAGCACUGCAAAAUCAGGUUACCCUCAAAAACUAUCCUUAUGUGAAAUUUCAGCAAGCCAUUACAUGUCCUGCUUUUGACCUCACUGAAUAUUUGAAGUAAUUAAGCUCUAAAGAACUAGCCAAGGAAAGGCCUAAUAAAAGAGCUUCAGUGAAAGAAAACGAAGGAUGAGUUAGGAUCUACCAAGACCAUGUGGGAUCUAAUAAUCUAAUCAUUACCAUCAAAUGUUAAGACAAGUGGGCAGAGCUGUGUCUUUAAGGCAAUACACCUGAAAUUUCAACAACUCCAAAGUGGUGCAUGCCAAAACCUGCCAAUCUUUACUAUAGGCUCUGUAGAGCUGUUUCAGGAGUUCUUGCCACACAAGCCAUUAUGUCAGUAAGAAGCGGAGGAGGAGAGCCAAAGGGUGGAGAGAACUUACUAUACAAGACUAACAAGUGUAAGAGAAGGGAGUAGAACAUUUCUAGAAGCUGAAACUAGACAGCAAUAAUGGGAUGAAUUGUGUCCCAGAAUUCAUAUGUUAACGUCCUAAUCCCCAUCACCUCAGAAGGUGAAUAUAUUUGGAGAUAGGAUCUUUAAAGAGGAAGUUAAAUUAAAAUGAGGUCAUUAGGGUAGUCCCUAAUUCCAAAUUAUUGGUGUCCUUAUAAAAAGAGGAAACUAGGACACAGACACACACAGAGGAGAGACCAUCCGUGAAUCACAAAUUGAUAAAGCAUUUGCCAGAAUUGUUGCUCUUAUGCUGGAGAAGAUGGCUAUCUACAAUCCAAAGAGAAGCUUCUGAAGAAACCAACCCUGGGAACACCUUGAUUUUCAGACUUACAGUCUCCAGAACUGUGAAGAAAUAAAUUUCUGUUGUUUAAGCCAC